AAAGAGUUUCUAAUGUUUCAUUGUUUGAAUUAUCAUAUAAAAAGAUUGAGAGAGACAUGAAUAAGUGAUUGAGUUUGAUAUUGAUCCAUACUCAUGCACUUAUUCAGGAUGUAGUAUGACUGAGGAAUUGAAUUGCAUGGUAACUUGCCACUAAAGGGUAUGUUUGGAUUUGUCCAAUACAUUCCUCAUCUUUUGGGUAGACAUGAUACAUUGCUAGACGUCAAUCUUGUCUUGUGGGUUGAUCAGAUCAAAAAGUUUGAUUAGAUCAAAGCAUCAGAAAGGUUCUGAUUGCUAAGUCAGGUUUAGCACUAAAUUGAACCUAAAUUAGAUUAGAGGUAUUCUAAUCAGGUUAGGUCA
rnacentral:lncRNA from 1 species